rnacentral:lncRNA from 10 species
CUGAAGCAGAGUUGAACCUGAAACAUCUAAAGUGUGAAUCGCCUACUUCAGCUCGUGUCAUUUCAGAUAAAAGUCAUACAGUCAUAGAAUCUGGGGUUUAUAAGAUAUCUCAGGGAUCAUCUGGGUAACUCCUCUGUUCAAUUCAUGAAUGUCAUCUCUAAUAUCUCCUUCAAUUCAUCUUCCACUCCUCACUGGAAUCUCUUAAAUGAACUAUUUGAUCAUCAGUAAAUUGCACUUUUCUUAUGAAAAAGCUGUGGCCUUCACAGUGGAAUAUGCAGCUUCUGUCCUUGACACCGGAGCAGAAUCUGUCAUUCUUGGCACCUUCUUCCAGCCUCUCGCCUUGACCUCAAAGUUGGAUGAUGUUUCUGUGAGCACAUUGCCUUCCAAAAUAGGCUUGACUUAGACCCUCCUACCUGUGUGAGGGUAUGACCUUCAGCUCCUCUCCCGACAUUGUGGCAUGGCAAAAAAAAGAAAGAAUCCAGCCUGGUGCAGGGUCUGUCUUAUAGUAAGGAAAUCACCUCGGGAAGCCUUUCUUCCAUUCACUGGGACCCUCUUGGGUUUUGUGACAGGCAUCUGAGGUAUAGACACACAACAACUGUGAGGAGGAUCCUUCAUUCCUAAGCCUGCAGGGAAUCUGCCAGAGAGCUCAUGGUUUCCAUAAAACACUUUGGAAUGGCUUAUCAUGAGCUCUAAUCCUGCAGCUCAGCUCCCAUGAAAGAAACAUUCAACAGGAGGGAGAGGAUUAAUACAGGUUUGGGCUGGAAAUCUCCACUGUGUUGAGACCUAGUCUGUCAGGAGGAGGUCCCCAAGUGAGCAGGCUGGCCCUCCCCAAUCCCAAAAGAACAAGAGGUCAGAGAUCUAGUUAUGCAAAACCCAGUUUCAACCGGAUUUCUUUUGAACAGUGCAUUAGUCCAUUUGCAUUACUACAAAGGUAUACUUGAGCUUGGAUAAUUUAUAAAGAAAAGAGGUUUAAUUGGCUCAUGGUUGUGCAGGCUGUAUAGAAAAGAGAGCAGCAUCUGCUUCUGGUGAGGCCUCAGGAAGCUUCCACUCAUGGCAGAAGGCAGAGCAGGAGCAGGUGCAUCACACUGCAAGAGAGGGAGACAGAGAGAGUAGAGGGCAGCGCUACGCUCUCUUAAACAACCAGAACUGGGGCGAGAACUCACAUCACCAAGGGGAUGGCACUAAGCCAUUCAUGAGGGAUCCACCCCCGUGAUCCAAUCACCCCCACCACGCCCCACCUCCAACAUUGGGAAUCACAUUUCAACAUGAGACUUGGAGGAGACAGACAUCUAAACCAUGAAAAACAGGCCGCAUGCAGCCUCCCUUCCAUAAAACCACUUGAAGGAAGCUUUGCAAUCCACCAAAUUACUCUGUGUAUCCUCUUCACCUGCUCCCACGGCUUUCGGAAGCCACAGUCCAGAUGUGGGCAGCAGGUUGCCAUCUGUCCUCCAGCCUCUAAGGAAACUCCUUUCUGUCUCCUAUGGAUGUUCUCCAAGGGAGACACUUCUUCACAAGCUGCCUUGAUCAUCUCCCCAAAGCCUUGGUCAGCCCUUAUUUAGAUUCAUUUUAAAAUUAUUUAACCUAAAUAUAUCUUACUGAAAUUAAAACUUGAGGUUUUUUUUCCCUUAAGUUUCCUCCCAGUGCAGUCUGAAACCAGGAGCUAGGCAUCAGCUUCUGCCUGGCCCUACAGCGCUCUGCAGCCCCACCUCUCCCAGCCCCACCUGCAGGUUGUACAGGCAAUGCCGUCCUAGAUUAAACCUGUAAACCAGAAAGAGACACCAGGGGGAAAACUGAUGAGACCCAAAUAAAGUCUAGAGGUUAGUGUAUAGUAAUGUACCAACAUGAAUCCCUUGGUUUUGACAAAUGUACUAAGGUUCACAAAAUAGUCGCAUCAGGGGAAAUCAGGCAAAGGGCAUGCGGGCAUCUCCGCACUGUCUUUGCAACUUUUCUGUACAUCUAAAAUUAUUCUCCCAAAUUAAAAAAAAAUCAGAUUUUAAGGGGGAAAUGUUUCCUUUGCUUCAGAAAUAUCUAAGAGGAAAGUUUCCAAUCUUAUCAAAGCUGGAAGAUAGAGCUAGGACUAAAAUAAGAAAAACUUGGAUUUACAUUUACAUUUAGAUUUGUACUGCUCUUAAAAUGUCUGAAGCACUUUGCAUUUAUAUCAUUUGCUCUACAAAAAAACCUGUUGAAGAAAACAGAUGUUAGGAUCCUGCCUUUUUUUUUCUUCACUGCAGAGAAAUCUGGAAUGAAGAGAGGCUAACCCAUUAGCCAAUGUCCCAGGCAUUCUGCCAUGAAGUCAGGCCCCUUCUCCACCCUGCACCGUCCACCUCUGUGAAUUCAAGGCCCUGAGCUCAGCUCCUGCUUCCAGUCCUUCCAUCUCACAAUGGAGGACCACAAGGGAGUCCCCAUCCUCCACUCAAAGCCUGGGGUCCAAGACAGGAGAUUUGGAUGCAAAGAAGCCAUCAACACCAAUCAGCCAAGGAAAAGUCCCCAGCAGAACCCUGCUGUCUCUAGCCAAGUGACCAGGGACACGGACAGCACAGGAGGACUGAGCCUCUUUAGACAAGACCCACCCUACUCCAGCCAAACACCCUAGAAAAACCAUGGCUCCACCUUACCCAGACCAGCAGAAGUUGAGUGGAAAACCUUGAUUUCUGCCCUUGCAGUGCCGUGAUGAAGCACCCAGACUUGUUCACACUCUCAAGGGUUGUGGGAAGGGAGAUGGAGGAGGGAGCAGACACUAUUAUCACUGUUGGGCAGCCGUGUUGACGGAGAACACAUCAGAGGCCGGCACUUCCACUUCUGCCUGUCGGUGACAAGGCCCUCCUUCUGCUCCACACUGAGCAGCAUCAGAGGAGGCCUAGUGGAAAGCCAGGACUUUCACCAGCACCCAGAGAGAAUAACCAGUUCACCCCCAGGGUAUCAGUGGAGACGUGGGGAGACAGGACUCCCACUUCCACACAGCAAUAACAGGGAGCACUCCCCAACCCGGGUGUCAAUAGAGACCAAGUGGGGAGCCUGGGUUUCUGCCUCCACAUGACAGCAAUGAGCCAGUGAAAACAGAAGGCUUAAAUAAGAUUUAGAGUCUCAUACCACACUAUCCAAAGUAUCCAGGUUCCAAUUGAAAAUAAUCUGUCCAGUCAAGCAGGGCAGCUCAUGCCUGUAAUCCCACCACUUUGGGAGGCCAAGGCAGAAGAAUCACUUGAGUCCAGGAGUUCAAGACCAGCCUGGGCAAUUCGGCGAGAUCCCAUCUCUACAAAAAAUAAUUUAAAAAAUUAACCAGGUGGUGGUGCACACCUACAGUCCCAGCUACCCAGGAGGCUGAGGCCGAAGAAUCACUUGAACAAAGGAGGUCAAGGCUACAGUAAGCCAUGUUCAUUCCAGCCUGGGCAACAGAGUAAGAUCCUGUCUCAGGAAAAAAAAAAAAAAAAAAAGAAGGAAGAAAAUCACUUGUCAUGCCAAGAAAUAGGGAAAUGUCAACUUGAAUGAAAAAGACAAUUGAUUAUAUACUAACACUGAGAUAACAAAGAUGUUAGAAUUAUUUGACAAAGAUUUUAAUGGUCAUGGUUAAAAUGCUUUAAUGAGUAAUAAUAAACAUGCUUGAAACAAAUAAAAACAUAGAAAAUCUCAGCAGAGAAAUAGAAGAUAAUAAAAACUAAAUGGAAAGCUUAGAACCAAAACAAAAUGUAAAUUUAAAAAUUAAAAUUGAAAAAACAAAAAAUACAAUAAAAUAAAUUUAAGAAUUCAAUUUAUUGACUCAACAUCCAAAUGGAAAGGACAAAGGAAAGAAUUCAUAAAUUUGAGAUUUAACAUUAGAAAUUACUCAAUCUGAACAAUAAGAAAAAACAGACUGAUAAAAAUGAAAAGAGAUUAUGCAAAAUAUUACGGAACUAGACAAAAUAUCGAAUAUUUGUGUCACUAGAGUCCUGAAAAGAGAUGAGAAAACGGUUGGUGCUGAAACACUGUUUUUUAAAAAAUGGCUACAAUUUUCCCAAAUUUGUCAGAAGUCACACACCUGCAGUUUUAAGAAGCCAAGUUAAUCCCAAAUAGGAUAAAUUCAAAGAUAUCCAUGCCAAGAAACAUCAGAGUCAAAUUUCUAAAAAUUGAAGGCAUCUUACUUACAUAGGAAAAACAAUCCUAAUGACAAUGUAUUUCUCACCUGAAAUCAUGAAGGCAAGAAAGUAUUGGCACACUGUUUCAAGUGCUGAAGAAAAGAACUUUUAAUCUAGAAUUAUAUAUCCAGAAAAAGUAUCCUGCAAGAAUAAAACAGAAAUCAAGACAUUCUCGAAUGAAGAAAAACUAAGUAAAUUUGUCACCAGCACCCUACCUUAAAAGUAUGCAUAAGAAAGUUCUCUAAACAGAAAGAAAAUAAUAAAAGAAAAAAUCAUGGAAAGGAAAAAUACAUGCUAAUAGUUAAAAAGAUGAGUAAAUGCAAUAGACUUUAGAACUCUUCUUGAAUACUUCAAAUUAUGUUUGAAGGCUAAGAAAAUAUUAUAAUACUGUCUAGUGUAUUUUUAGAUGUAAGUAAAGGAAACAUUUCAGAUAAUUAUAUUUUACAUGGGUAGAUAAAGGAAUGUAACAUUUGGUAAGGAUUGUAUACUUUACUCAAACUGGAGCAAAGUUUUUGUAUCAUAUUAAAGUUAUGUAAGUAUAAUAUAUUGCAAUUAAUCUAAACAACAUAGUCAUGAGUCAAAAUGUUAAUCGUAACCUCCAGGACAAGCAUUAGAAAAAUAACAAAAAUGAGUAAAAUAAAUGACAAUGUGAUUACAAUGUAAGAGAAGAUAUCUUAACAAAAUAAGGUAAUAAUAAAAAAAGAAACAAAAAUGAUGUCAGAUAUUUAAAAAGCGAAGACCAAAAUGCAGGAAUAAACCUUAAUAAUUAUUACAUUAAACAUAAUAAAUUAAACACUAACAUUUAAAGAAAGAGAUCGGCAGGCUAUCUUUUAAAAACGUAAUUCAACAAUGUGCUAUAUACAAAUGAUACUGUUAAGAUUUAAAGACAAAAAUAAAUUAAAAGUAAGAAGGUAACAAUGAGAUAGCACACAAACAGUAACCAAAAACCAAUUGGAGUAUCUAUACCAAUAUCAGACAAAACAGAUUUCAACACAAAAACUGUUAUCACAAACCACAAAAGGACAUUUUAUAAUAAUAAAAGGGUCAAUCUAUCAAGAAGGUAAAAGAGUCGUGAAUAUAUACAAAUUAAACAAGAAAGCUUCAAAAUACAUGAGCAUAAAAUAAAUGAAGGGAAAAAGAGAUAAUUCAACAGUAAUAGUUGUUGGUUUCCAUACCCCACUUUCAGUAAUGGAUAAAACAACAGGACAGAAGAGCAAUAAAAUACAUAAGAAAACUGUAAACUCAUGAGACAUCUCUACAUCUUUGGAACACUUCACCCACAGCAGCUUUCCACACAUUCUUCUUCAGUGCACACAGAAUACUCUCCAGCAGAGACCACAUGGUAGGUCACAAAACAAGUGUUAAUACAUUUUUAACAAUUUAAAUCAUAGAAAGUAUGUUCUCUAUCCACAAUAGAAUGAAAUUAGAAAUAAAAAAUAAAAUUUGAGAAAUUCUCAACUUUAUAAAAAUUAAAAAAGUGCUAAACAAGCAAUGGAUACAACAAAGAACACAACAGAAGAGAUAUUAGUCAAUACUUUUGAGGUGAAAAACAAAAGCACAACAUACCAAAAAAUAUGGGAUAUAGCAAAAAAGAGUGCUUAAAAGAAAAUUUAUAGCUACAAACACCUAUAAUAAAAAAUCUCAAAUCUAUAACCUAAUCUUUCACCUGAAGACACUAGAAGAAAAGCAAACCAAACCCAAAGCAAUUAGAAGGAAGGAAGUCAUGACUGGUGGGAAAAACAAAAUAAAGAAUAAAAACCAAUAGAGAAAAUCAAGAAAAAUAAAAGUUGUUUCUCCACAAAUAUCAACAAAAUUGACAAACCUUUAGCUAGACCACAAAAAAAGGGUUGAAUUAUUACAAAAAGAAAGGAAAGUGAAAGCAUUAGCAUCAACUUUACAGAAAUAAAAAGUACUAUAAAAGAAUACAGUGAACAAUUGUGUGCCAAAAAAAUCAGAUAACCUAGUGAAAAUGGAUAAAUGUUUAGAAGGACACAAACUACACAAACUAACUCAGAAAGAAAUAGAAAAUAGGAAAAGAUCUCUAACAAGUAAAUAGAGGCCAGGCACUGUGGCUCACACCUGUAAUCCCAACACUUUAGGAGGUGGAGGCAGGAAGAUCUAAGGCUAGGAGUUCAAGGAGAGCCUGGACAACAAAGUGAGACUCCCAUCUUUACAAAAAAUAAAAAUAAAACAAAUAGAAGAGUAUGGCAGUGUGCACCUGUAGUCCCAGUUACUCAAGAGGCUGAGGCAGGAGGAUCACUUGAGCCCAGGAGUUGGAGGCUGCAGUGAGCUACUGUUGUACCACUGCACUCCAGUCUAAGUGACAGAGUAAAACCUGUGUCAAAAAUAAAUAAACAAACAAAUAAAUAUACUGACUUAGUAGUUUUUUUUUAAGUUUCCACAAAGAAAAGUUAGGACAAGAUGGCUUCACUGGUACAUUGUACCAAACACAUAAAGAAGAAUUAACACCAAUUCUUCACAAUGUCUUCCAAAAUAUAGAGGAGGUGGAAACACAGCUCACCUUAUUUUGUGAGCCAGUUCCUGGCUUGUAGACAGCACUUUCCUCCAUGCCCUAGCAUGCUGCUGAGAGCAUGUGGAGGCUCUCUGGGGUCUCCUCUCAUAAGGGCACUAAUCCUACCACGAAGCCCUCACCCUCCUGACCUCAUCUAAACCUCAUCGCCUACCAAAGGCCCAUCUCUGAACACCAUCACGCUGAGAGUUAGGUUUCCACAUAUCGAUUCGAGGGGGAUGACAAUUUAGUACAUAGAAGACACCAAAAUUUAACAUGCAUUACCGUUUAUAAUCACUCAAAACAAUGUGAAAUGAAAAAUAUAGAUCUGACAAAACAUGUAUAGGACAUGUAUGCUAAAUCCUACACAAUCCUAGUAAAAGAGAUAAUAGAAGAUCUAAAUAAACGGAAAGACAUACCAUAUUUGUGGGUUAGAAAACUCAACAUAUUAAACAUGUCAAUCUCCCUAAAUUGGUAUGCAGGUUUAAGGCAAUUCCUAUCAAAAUCCCAGCAAGCUUUUUUAUAAAUACAGGCUGAAUUGUUUUAAAAUUUAUAUAGGAAGUGAAAAGAACUAGAGUAGCUGAAACAAUUUUGAAAAAUAAAAAGAAAGUAGAAGAAAUCACUCUAACCUAAUUUCAAGACAUAUUAUAUUGCUAUAGUAAGCAAGAUUGUGUAGUAUUGGUGGAGGGAUAGACACACAGAUUAACGGAACAGAAAAAGAAUCCAGAGAAAGACCCCACAAAUAUGCCUGAUUGAUUUUGACCAAGGUGCAAAGCAAUUUCGUGGAAGAGGGAGAAUCUCAUCAACGAACAGUGCUGGAGCAGUUGAACAUCCACAGGGAAAAAAUACCACUGAUCUAAACCUCACACUUUAUACAAAAAUUAACUUCCAAAUGGAUCACUAACUUAGUACAGAAUAGAAGCUGUAAAACUGUUUGUAAAAUACUAACAACAGCAUAGGAGAAAAUCUUGGUUGUGAUAUUCUCUAUAGUUUUACUAGGUGUUACCACUGGAGGAGACUGAGUAAAGGGAACAAGGAUCUCUCUGUAUUAUUUUUCUCAACUGCAUGUGAAUCUACAAUUCUCUCAGUAUAAUAAGUUAAAUUAAAAGCAAAAAUAUUAUGUGCACGCCUCAUUGGGAUAUGUGUUCCUGGGAGGCAUGAGUGAUGGAAUUAGGAGAGGGGAGGGAGACAUGAAGGGCAUGCUGCCACGCUGGAGCCAUAUGACCUGCUGCAAGCCAGGACCAGGAGGAACACGAAUGAUCUUGUUCAUUCUCUUUCCCUUCUCCAUCUCUUAUUGUUCCUUAAGCCCAUGGAAACUUAACUUUCCAACACUUCUGGGUUAUAUCAAUCCUGGAGAAACCAAAGGCCUGUGUUUACCUCAUGUCCCUAACUGGGGCAGAACAGAAAUGCCUUGAAGGGCUCAUGCUCACAACUACUCCCGAAGAUUAACAGGUAGGAGGUGGGGAGCCAGGCUGACACUCAUUCUACAACACCACCCCCAGCACCAAGCAUAAACGGGGAAGGGAAAUCACAUGCUGGCAGCCUGUGAGUCAUCACUGCACUCAUCCCUCCACUUCACCCUCAAAACACCUGGAUGGGGGUCACUGUCAUCAUAUAGGGGUGCACCAGGCAGGAUCCUGUGCCUUGGAGCACCGCAUCCCUGAGAGCACGGAUCCUACAGUAGAUAAAGUGUAUUCUCUUUCUCUGCUCUUUUCACACACACAUGCGUGCACACACACACACACAGCUCAACAUUAUGAUUUGUGAGUGCUAAAAGGAAGUGGCUAUUGGAUGGGGGAAGGGGUGGAUGUCUC